rnacentral:rRNA from 1 species
ACGCACGCUGGCGGCAUGCCUAACACAUGCAAGUCGAACGAGACCUUCGGGUCUAGUGGCGCACGGGUGUGUAACGCGUGGGAACCUGCCCUUAGGUUCGGAAUAACUCCCCGAAAGGGGUGCUAAUACCGGAUAAUGUCUUCGGACCAAAGAUUUAUCUCCUUUGGAUGGGCCCGCGUUGGAUUAGCUAGUUGGUAGGGUAAAAGCCUACCAAGGCGACGAUCCAUAGCUGGUCUGAGAGGAUGAUCAGCCACACUGGGACUGAGACACGGCCCAGACUCCUACGGGAGGCAGCAGUGGGGAAUAUUGGACAAUGGGCGAAAGCCUGAUCCAGCAAUGCCGCGUGAGUGAUGAAGGCCUUAGGGUUGUAAAGCUCUUUUACCCGGGAUGAUAAUGACAGUACCGGGAGAAUAAGCUCCGGCUAACUCCGUG